CGUAGGUGGCAAGCGUUGUCCGGAUUUAUUGGGUUAAAGGGUGCGUAGGCGGUCUUGUAAGUCAGUGGUGAAAUACGGCAGCUUAACUGUCGAGGUGCCAUUGAUACUGCAGGACUUGAGUACAGACGAGGUAGGCGGAAUUGACGGUGUAGCGGUGAAAUGCUUAGAUAUCGUCAAGAACACCGAUAGCGAAGGCAGCUUACUAGACUGUAACUGACGCUGAUGCACGAAAGUGUGGGGAUCAAACAGGAUUAGAUACCCUGGUAGUCCACACUGUAAACGAUGAUUACUCGAUGUUGGCGAUACACAGCCAGCGUCUUAGCGAAAGCGAUAAGUAAUCCACCUGGGGAGUACGCCGGCAACGGUG
rnacentral:rRNA from 1 species